ACUGGGGAGAAAAAGGAAAAAAAUAAAUAAAAUCUUUAAAACCACGUGGGGAAAAAUACCGAAACAAAAACCCUAGGCCUGAAAGAGUCCUCGGCCCAGCCCACUGAGGCCCAUGGCUCCCUGGCCAGGAAAGGGAAUGGGGACACACACUUCUGCUGGCUGGGACCUCCCUUGGGGUCAGAGCUCUGCCAGGGGAGGUGGCCACGCCCCAGAGCUCCCUUUCCUGGCAGGCCCCAGGGCCUCCCCUGUCAGUUGGGCCGUCUGCUCAUCUGUAACAGGCAGGAAAGGGGAGGGGGGAGGGUGGCCCUCCCCCAGAGCACACCCCAUGGAGUCUGUGCAAACAAGAAGGCAGAGGCGCACCCUGAGGAUGUGCCGGCCUGUACCCCCCACACGCCUUCCCCACACCACCCUCCUCGCACCUCAGGCAAGGGGUGCUCCAGGGCCCAGAACCCUGGCCUGACUGACCUGACCUCCAGCUGGGAAGGACCAGGGGUCUCUCUGAGGCAGAGGAAGGGACUUGCCACAGACUGGAGCUGCCACCCAGCCAGCAGGCAGGUCCCAGGAUGCGGGCAAAGCUCGCCUGGCUUGAGGGGUAGGUGAGCCACAGACGCUGCACCACAAGGACAAGGGGACAACUGGAGCCCGUGUCUGCCGCGGGCAGGCUCUGAGGAGCAUUUCCCAUGUACCCUGCACGGCGCCCCAUGAGGUGGGCACAACUGGCCCAUUCUAGAGAUGACAGACACCCAGAUGCAAGCAGGGGUGGAACCUGCCCAAAGUCACAGCAGCACCUGGCAGAGCGGGGACUUCAACGUCCGUGUCUGGCUUUCACGCAAAUUGAGAUCGCGGCUCGUUCUAGCGCUCUGCCCUCAGCGCCCGGGACAUGUUUUGCAUCUGGGAAUCACUGAUGCGCUGGCUGACCUCCAGCCAGACUGAGUGCCUGUGGGCAGGGACGCCCUCCCCUCCGGAUCAGCUCAGGACACAGGUGGCCCCGGGGCGUGACCACCAGCUUCAAUGAACGCAGUGCGGACAGCACGGUGCUGUGGAAAACCGACGAGGAAAACGAAAGAAAAGUACUACGCACGCUGGAGCCGGCCCCAGGCAGAAGCACAGAGCCGCCGGUCUCCUUACCAGGCCGUGCCGUCCAUCUCUAGCACUGGGGCCAGCCAGGAAGAGGGCACAGGCCAGAGCCCAGCCGCAGUGGGACUUCCCCAUGGGCCCUGGCACCCGCCCUUAGGGCCACUCUGUCCACAGGGAGGAAACGGGCCUGUUGACGGCGGUUUCAGCCUGGCGGCACCUUGUCAACCAAAACCGACCCCCGGCACCAGCUGUUUCCUGCGCGGUUUGCACCGCCUGCGGGCGGCCGGCACCUGGAGGUGCUGAGAACAGAGACAGGACGCCCGAAAAUAGUGGGUGGUGCUGCAUGGCCGCCCACUGGUAUUUGGAGGUCCCGGGAGACUCCCUCCCACUGACACACGAGCCCUCGGCCCCGGCUGGAGCCCCUGCCUAGGCUUUGCCCAGUCCACACGCACAGUACGGCCAGAGGCACAAUCCAGGGACCUUGGACAUGUCUGCGUGGGUGAGUGUAGUGUUUUCCAAAAACAGAAGCUGGAAGUCUGGCUUCUUUUGAAAAUCUGGAAGAUCCAGUAACAACGGGCUGGCAUCCCCCAGGCAAAACUGAGCUGAUGCAGAGGCAGCUGCCCCCUUAAAUGGGGCAAACAGCUGAUGGUUUGCCAUACUCCCCACCACUCUCUCUCGUCUCCCUAUUCUCAGACCAGGCCUGGUUCCCUCCACUACAUUUCCUGCCUGCCCCUGCAAGUAUCUGAAUUUGCUGCCCUGCCGGAAAGUGUUGGCUAUCUGGGACAUACUUCCCAAGGAACAAGUCACCUCCUCCAGGAAGGCUUCCCUGAGCCCUUUCCUAGCCCUCACCUCGGCGAGGUGCCCAUUCUGUGCCCCAUGGCACCUGUGUCGACCCCUUCAGAGCACCUGUCACUCUACUGCAAUUGUCUGGUUGCCUGUGUCAUCCCCCUCCAGACUGUGCUCCCUGAGGUCAGGGGCAUCCCAGUGGUGGUCCCAUGCUCCCAGCAUAAGGCCCUGGCUCCUGGCAGAGACAGGAAUAGCCAGCCAACCACCUGAGCAGGCGAGCCAGCAGCCUCCUUCCGUCUGACCAUCUGGGGCUGUGUGUUAUCACCCAUGCAUCUGGCUCCCUAGAGAUCUAGGCGUGGGGACCAAUCUGUCCCCAUAGCCCAGGGGGGCUGGGCAGAAGGGCAGGUGUCUGAGGGUUGGGGCCUUGGAUCCCUGGCCUGGCCUCACCCUCCUGCUUCCCUCUAGAGCCCAGGCCCCAGCAUGGGGCCAUGUGCACUCCGAAUUCCUCACCUCCUUGGGGAGGCCCCAGUGCUGAGUCCCCAAGCACCUGGGCUCUCGUCUGGGUGGCAGGGCCAGGCCAGAGAAUUUCCUUCUGGAGAACCACUUACCAGGGUGAAACGUCCUCUCCCCCCAAACCCUGACUGUCAGAGCAUGCCACCCACCCCAGGGCCAACCCCCAGUCUAAGUGAGUCCCAGAGGCAAGCCCCCAGACCCCAGGCCUGCAGCUCUCUGCGCCUGCAGGCUGAGCAGGCUCCAGCACUGAGGGCAGCAUCCUGAACAGAGCUGCAGGUAUGGGGGCUGCACACAAGCAGCAGCGGGGGCCGAGAGGUCUGGGCAGGGCACCCAUCGCCCCUGCAGCGCCCCAUCACCAAGACCGAAUCCAGGCUCCCUAGCGUGGCCCAUGAGGUUACCCCGGAGCCCACCUGCCACCCUCUUCUCUCCUUCCCUGUCACUCUCCAGCUUUGGUGUUCAUCCUGUCACGUGCCUCAAACUGUCCACACGGCUGCCCAAAACUUCCUCUCACGCCCACUCCUCUCUGCAAGGCCCAGCUCAGAUUGACCCCCACCACGUGGUCUUCAGGACGCAGCCUACCCCCUGAAUGAACAAGUGAAUGAAUGAAUGAACACCUGUAAGGCCUCUGGAACACAGGCCCAGAGAAUCCAGUUGGGACCUUCCAGAAUGGGGGCCUGACAGGGUCAUGGGAGAGCACCCCAGCAUGGGCGGCUCUGUCCACGGAGCUCCCUGGGAGGCAGGGCAGCCCCAGAGCACCCCAGGUCAGGCCCGAGCAGUCAGCCGUCACACCACAAUCACUCCCACAGGUCGUCUAAAUAGCAAGGGCAGUUUCUCUUUUCUUCCCCCUUUUUGUUGCCAGAAAGCAUUUCAGGUCUGACCUGAGGUCCCCGACUAUAGCCCCACGCAGGACUCAAGCCUCCCACACUUGGGCCAGGGAUGGGCAGGGAGCUGGCGGCCCUCCUGCUAGUCUGGCCUGCUGGGCCUGGCAGAGGAGGCCUGAGCCGGGUUUGGACAGGGCUGGCCCUGACUGCUGUGUGACCUUGGACAAAUGUUUAGCCCCUCGGAGUCUGGACUCUCUCAUUUGUAAGUGGGGCUGAGACAACCUCCUCCGAGGGCUCAGUGGAGCCGGUGAGAUGAUGCAGCCGGCACAGGGUGUGGCCCCCACAGAUGCACCAUCUGGGUGGAGGGAUGGACGGCAGGGGCUGGACCGGGUGGGUGGAGAACCUCAGGGGCCUGCUCUGGCCGGGGGAGCAGCAAGGUCCACAGCUCCUCAUGGGAAGCUCAUCUUGGGCUUGGUGUCUGGGAAGCAGAUGCCAUGUUUUGAGAAGGUGGCAGGUCCUGAGGGCCAAAUACCUUAGGGGGCUUUGCCCAAGGGGCUCUGAACAGGAGCCAGCCAGGCUAGGGACAAGCGCCAUGCUCCUACCUGGCAGGUGAUGAGCAAACUCGGCGGUGGCCAAUGCCAGGCCUGCAGAGAUGCCCGUGUGGCUGUGCCCAGGGACAGGUGGCAAGGGGCCUCUCUGACUCCCCUGAGAGAGAGAAGGGGCACCCCUAGGGGCUGCUGACGCAGCCUGUGCCCCCGAGCCUGCCCUCGGGGCCCACUUCUCCAAGCUGACGGGAUGCUCUGCUCAUAAUAUUAUUCAUAAUAGUGACAAUCACUGAGGCUUCUCCCUCGGGGGACCUGGCGAAAACCCUGCUCCGGUUUUCGCAGCAGCAUCUUACAACUGACAAAAUGGAGGGUCAGAGAGGGUAAGCUGCCUUCCUGGGGUCACAGAGCCAGCUGGAAGGUCUGCUGCCCCCCCACCAGGAGCCAGGUAGCUGGGCAUGUGGCCUCGUGGCUGAGGAGCUUCUGACGGCUGUUUAGAAUAUUUUGAUAAAAACAUGUUGAACACCU